ACAGAAACAUGGCAACCAAAUAUAGCCACAUGAUUGACCAAAAAACUCUAAUUUAGACACAUUGAAAACUUUAAAGAAACUGAACACCAGUCGCAAACUUUCAACAUUUACAGCCAUAAAAAAAGUAGCAUAUUACAAAUAAAACCUAUGAUCCCAAAACGAAAACAGAGAGUUAAUGGGAAGGGAAACCAAAGGUAUAAAUAUGGAAAAGAGUGCAUAUUAGUAUGAUAUAUCAAAAGGGAAGUAUAAUAUAUUACGGCCAGAAAAACAAUAUAAACAGCAGCAUCAAGCAUCAGAGUGAGAAUGUAUUGUUCCAAUAUAUAUGAAGACAAAGAACUAUGUCAAGGCAUGAUAUAAUGUAUUACUGUAGUAGCAUGAAUCUACCUUAACUUCUUCUUAAUUCAGAGAUCAUAAUAGUAUACGCCCAAUUUACCUACAAGUCAAAAGAUAUUUUCACUUGGAAGCACGAAAAAUAUUACCAUUAACAAUCUAAAUUACAACAUCCAUUGUAUUCAGGCAUCAUGAAAAUAUAAGAAUAGAUAGAAGAGUAAUUUCCCUUGUAAAAGAAGCACAACUACAUACAGCAUAUAUCAUGGCCUAAAGACAGUAAAUAUUGCAAGGACAUGUAGAGGUGAUAUGACACUGUAAUACAGAGUAGAAUAAUAUAUAUGUAUUUGAUGAUAUCAAUGUCAUGAGAUACAUAAAAGGUCAUCAGAUACGAUGAACUGCAAAUUCCAUUGUACCAAUACCACAAACAUAUGUACCACACCAACCUUCCCAGGUGUCUCCAGAGGUCAUACGCACCUCCUAGGUAUGAACAGUCAUACCAAGAUGUAGUGCCGAUCAAGAGUUGAUUAAUAUAUGUCUGCAAUUCAUGUAUAAUACACCGAAAAAAUAAACCCUAGACAAAGUUAGUGGUCAGAGAUCAUAAUAUAACACUCUAGUCCUAUCUUAGACUUAGAGGGUACGCAGAUAAUUAUGCUAGCAACAAUUAAACCUAUUGGAAAUAUUAACAUUCGUCAAAGAAAAAUCAGCAAAGACAACUACAAAAAGGCUAGUUUUUAUGAGCAUUUUAUACAAAUAAGUUAUAAGGGUAAGUAAAAUAAAAUAUAUGUAUACCAACAGGCAAAUAACAAGAUAUUUGACAGCCAAAAAAUUGUCGAGUGUUACAUGUAGGCUUGUAAAUCAAUCACACAACAAAGCGACUUAGCAUUCAUAGUUAUAUUAUCAUUUAAAUUGAUUCUUAUUGCACUUCUUAGCCCAAUUUCAGAGGGUGGGAGAACAUACAGCCUUAAUUCUAUCAAUUGCCUUUACUGAUCAAAAAGUGGCACAAGCUCACUCUCAGAUAAGGAGACAACAAAGAAGAAAAUGCAUGAAAUAAAAACCAUGCAAGAUCAACAUACAAUUCAACACUUCUCAAUACAUGAUGAAUAUUUCAUCAACCAUUUUAUACUUAGAUUUCACAUAUUUCAUGGUUUCCCCACAACAGACUCCCCACAGAGGGAAAUCAAAAUAAAGAAGGAAAAUGUAUGAAAUAUAACCCGUCUAAAAAUUUAGCUUCUAUCAUAGCUCAGCAAACAAUCCAAUCAUGGACAAAAAGAAGAAAUAAUUUUGUCAUCCUAAUUAUUCUUAUAUGUAUUCAACAAAUCUACUGAUCUAUGGACAUAUAUGCAGAAGAAACUACCUAUCCUAGGGAACACGGGCAACAAAAGCAAGUAUCAGGUCCCAGAAGAAAACCUCUAUCUUCUAAGCCAUGACAUGUAAUGAAAUUCUGAAGGCACGGAAAUGUUCCCGAAAAACAAUACAAGUUAUCACAACUAC
rnacentral:lncRNA from 1 species